rnacentral:SRP_RNA from 1 species
GCUGGGCAGGGUGGCGCGUGCCUGUAAUCCAGCUACUCAGGAGGCUGAGGCAGGAGAAUCACUUGAACCCAGGAGGCGGAGGUUGCAGUGAGCUGAGAUUGUGCCACUCACUGCACUCCAGCCUGGGUGACAGAGCAAGACCCUGUCUCAA